rnacentral:tRNA from 1 species
GCCGGGAUAGCUCAGCUGGGAGAGCAACAGACUGAAGUUCAAGUUGGUACCGUGUUCUGGAGGUCCCGUGUUCAAUCCACGGUCCUGGCA